rnacentral:rRNA from 1 species
UGCCAGCAGCCGCGGUAAUACGGAGGGUGCUAGCGUUGUUCGGAAUUACUGGGCGUAAAGAGCGCGUAGGCGACUUGAUAAGUUGGGAGUGAAAUCCCAGGGCUUAACCCUGGAACUGCUCUCAAAACUGUCAGGCUAGAGUAUGGUAGGGGAUAGUGGAAUUCCUAGUGUAGAGGUGAAAUUCGUAGAUAUUAGGAGGAACACCAGAGGCGAAGGCGACUAUCUGGACCAUUACUGACGCUAAGGCGCGAAAGCGUGGGGAGCGAACGGGAUUAGAUA